rnacentral:tRNA from 1 species
AGGGGUGUGGCUCAGUGGUAGAGUGCUUGCCUUAGCAUGUGUGAGGCACUGGGUUCAAUUCUCAGCAUCACAU